UGGUGGAGUGAUUUGUCUGGUUAAUUCCGUUAACGAACGAGACCCCGCCUGCUAAAUAGUGCCAUGAGUGAUAUUUCACUGAUUGGUGCUUCUUAGAGGGACGUGCAUUCUAUUAGAUGCAGGAGGAUGGGGGCAAUAACA
rnacentral:rRNA from 1 species